CCUACGGGCGGCUGCAGUGGGGAAUAUUGCACAAUGGGCGCAAGCCUGAUGCAGCCAUGCCGCGUGUGUGAAGAAGGCCUUCGGGUUGUAAAGCACUUUCAGCGGGGAGGAAGGCGGUGAGGUUAAUAACCUCAUCGAUUGACGUUACCCGCAGAAGAAGCACCGGCUAACUCCGUGCCAGCAGCCGCGGUAAUACGGAGGGUGCAAGCGUUAAUCGGAAUUACUGGGCGUAAAGCGCACGCAGGCGGUCUGUCAAGUCGGAUGUGAAAUCCCCGGGCUCAACCUGGGAACUGCAUUCGAAACUGGCAGGCUAGAGUCUUGUAGAGGGGGGUAGAAUUCCAGGUGUAGCGGUGAAAUGCGUAGAGAUCUGGAGGAAUACCUGUGGCGAAGGCGGCCCCCUGGACAAAGACUGACGCUCAGGUGCGAAAGCGUGGGGAGCAAACAGGAUUAGAUACCCCAGUAGUC
rnacentral:rRNA from 1 species